rnacentral:rRNA from 1 species
CCUACGGGAGGCAGCAGUCGAGAAUCAUUCACAAUGGGGGAAACCCUGAUGGUGCGACGCCGCGUGGGGGAAUGAAGGUCUUCGGAUUGUAAACCCCUGUCAUGUGGGAGCAAAUUAAAAAGAUAGUACCACAAGAGGAAGAGACGGCUAACUCUGUGCCAGCAGCCGCGGUAAUACAGAGGUCUCAAGCGUUGUUCGGAAUCACUGGGCGUAAAGCGUGCGUAGGCUGUUUCGUAAGUCGUGUGUGAAAGGCGCGGGCUCAACCCGCGGACGGCACAUGAUACUGCGAGACUAGAGUAAGGGAGGGGGAACCGGAAUUCUCGGUGUAGCAGUGAAAUGCGUAGAUAUCGAGAGGAACACUCGUGGCGAAGGCGGGUUCCUGGACAUUAACUGACGCUGAGGCACGAAGGCCAGGGGAGCGAAAGGGAGUAGAUACCCCUGUAGUC